rnacentral:rRNA from 1 species
GAUGAACGCUGGCGGCGUGCCUAAUACAUGCAAGUCGAGCGAACAGACGAGGAGCUUGCUCCUCUGACGUUAGCGGCGGACGGGUGAGUAACACGUGGAUAACCUACCUAUAAGACUGGGAUAACUUCGGGAAACCGGAGCUAAUACCGGAUAAUAUAUUGAACCGCAUGGUUCAAUAGUGAAAGACGGUUUUGCUGUCACUUAUAGAUGGAUCCGCGCCGCAUUAGCUAGUUGGUAAGGUAACGGCUUACCAAGGCAACGAUGCGUAGCCGACCUGAGAGGGUGAUAGGCCACACUGGAACUGAGACACGGUCCAGACUCCUACGGGAGGCAGCAGUAGGGAAUCUUCCGCAAUGGGCGAAAGCCUGACGGAGCAACGCCGCGUGAGUGAUGAAGGUCUUCGGAUCGUAAAACUCUGUUAUUAGGGAAGAACAAAUGUGUAAGUAACUAUGCACGUCUUGACGGUACCUAAUAAGAAAGCCACGGCUAACUACGUG